UACGAAGGGGGCUAGCGUUGUUCGGAUUUACUGGGCGUAAAGCGCACGUAGGCGGAUUGUUAAGUCAGGGGUGAAAUCCUGGAGCUCAACUCCAGAACUGCCUUUGAUACUGGCAAUCUAGAGUCCGGAAGAGGUGAGUGGAACUCCUAGUGUAGAGGUGGAAUUCGUAGAUAUUAGGAAGAACACCAGUGGCGAAGGCGGCUCACUGGUCCGGAACUGACGCUGAGGUGCGAAAGCGUGGGGAGCAAACAGG
rnacentral:rRNA from 1 species